rnacentral:rRNA from 1 species
GAAACAUAAGGACGUUAGGCUGAAAGUUAACGGCAUAGGUGGUUUAUCCCUACAUCUAAUGCACCUAUGUAAUCAGGGGGGGGCAAAUAUCGUGUCCACCCUCCGUGUAAUCCCCGCCCCUCCAAUUGUUGGCCACUAUAUUGGGCUCUAAACGUUCCUAACCCGGUUUGCUCAUCUUCCCGGAAAAUCUAACGGUUAACCCAUGAGGUUUCCGAGAUAUAAUGACAGGUUUGGCAACGGGAGAGGUAAGAGGUACUACGGGGGUAGGAGUGAAAUCUUGUAAUCCCCGUGGGACCACCAGUGGCGAAGGCGUCUUACCAGAACGGGUCCGACGGUGAGGGACGAAAGCUGGGGGCACGAACCGGAUUAGAUACCCGGGUAGUCCCACCUGUAAACUAUGCUCGCUAGGUGUCAGGGACGGUGCGACCGUUUCUGGUGCCGCAGGGAAGCCGUGAAGCGAGCCACCUGGGAAGUACGGUCGCAAGGCUGAAACUUAAAGGAAUUGGCG